rnacentral:rRNA from 1 species
UACGUAGGGUGCAAGCGUUGUCCGGAAUUAUUGGGCGUAAAGAGCUCGUAGGCGGUCUGUCGCGUCGGCUGUGAAAACCCGUGGCUCAACCCCGGGCCUGCAGUCGAUACGGGCAGACUAGAGUGCGGUAGGGGAGACUGGAAUUCCAGGUGUAGCGGUGAAAUGCGUAGAUAUCUGGAGGAAUACCGGUGGCGAAGGCGGCAUCCUGGACCGGCAUUGACGCUGAUGAGCGAAAGCUAGGGGAGCAAACGGG